CAUACAUUUAGGUGGUUCAAUCAUAACUGAUGUUCCUCUAGAAGGAUCCAAUAAUUGGGUAAUUACUACUACAGAAAUUCAGGACCUGAUACAGAAGGCAUAGUAUUUGCUGCAGAGACUUCUAAAAUUCUACUGCUACGCACAGCCAAGAUGACAGCUCAGAUUCCCCAUCAGUUGCUCUUCUCCAAAGAGACACUGUUUUAAGCAUUUCUCCAUUUUCGAAUCCACUCAACAACCAAAUGAGACACCAAUUUGGAUGUCCAACAAUUCAAGUCAAUUCUGACACUGCCUGAAAUUGCAUCACAUUCCACAGAUAAAUGGGUUCAGUACCCACUUCAGAUGCCAAUUGCAAGUCCCAGGCCAUCGGUAAUUCUGACCAACCAACUACAAAUGGUAGGUUCCCAUGACGCCCCUCCUCAUGUUCAACAGUUUGCUAGAAUGGCUUACAGAACUCAGGGAAACACUUUACUUAUGUUUACUAGUUUAUUAUAACUUAGGAACAGCCCGCUGGAAGAGAUGCACAGGGCAGAGCAUGGGGAGUGUAGUGCAGAACUUCCAUGCCCUACUGGGCGUUAUCACCUUCCCAGCAAGUUAAUGUGUUCACCAAACAGAAAACUCUCUAAAUCUCACUGUUCAAGAGUUUUUACAGAGCUCCAUCUCCAGGGCCUGCCCUCCCCUCUUCCCAGGGGUCAGUAGGUGGGACUGAAAGUCUCAACCCUCUAAUUACUUGGUCUUUCUGGGGACCAGCUCCAUCCUGAGGCUCUUUAGGGGCCCCACUCUAAAAAACCUUAUGAACAUAAACUCAGGUGUGAUUGAAAAGGGUUCAUUAUAAAUAACAAAAGACACUCCUUUCACUUAGAAAAUUCCAAGAGUCUUAGGAGCCCUGUGCCAGGAACCAGAGAUAAAGACCAAUAUAUUUUUGCAUUAUACCACAAAAUUGGUACCUCCUGGUGGUUUUGAUUUGCAUUUACCCAACGACUAUUGAUUUGGGGCAUUUUCUCUUUUUUUUUUUUUUUUUGAG
rnacentral:lncRNA from 1 species